rnacentral:misc_RNA from 1 species
CCGAGUGAGGGCCCUCUGGGUCCAACCUCCCACCCGUGUUUAUUUACCUUGUUGCUUCGGCGGGCCCGCCUUAACUGGCCGCCGGGGGGCUCACGCCCCCGGGCCCGCGCCCGCCGAAGACACCCUCGAACUCUGUCUGAAGAUUGUAGUCUGAGUGAAAAUAUGAAUUAUUA